AUGGUUUUAGUUACUCUGCCAUCACAUUAUUUCCACUCAACUAUUGUUGCAUAUUGUGUUCUAUUGCACGUUGACUAGCAGAUACUCUUAUUGGUGCCUCUACCUUUCUACUUUGCGCUUCUUGUUUUGAUAUCUUUGAUUAUCUACCUGUAUAGUGGAGUAUGAUCCGAUUUCCUUGCUCUACUGUAAUCAUGCAGCUCCAUCUUGACGAUGGCACAAUCUUGAUGUGUAUGUUAUUAUAUGGGAGCUAAGAUUUGUAUUUAAAGGAUUGUCGUUGGAGGGCUUGAAUACUUUGAAUACUUGUUCUUUUAACUUCUUUUUGCUCAAUUGUCUGGAUUACUUUAACUAACUUCUCUUUUGUUUGAAAUAUUUUCCUACAUAAAAUGGAUGAAAAGGCUGGCACCUGCUUUUACCUUUGCGGUUGAUAUAUAAUAUUCGAACUUCAGACUCUCAUCUGAACUGAUUUGAGUUUUUCCAGAUGUGCCCCCAAGACCGAACAAAGACGUUAUUUGUUAAGACUAUCACACUGUUGACUUCUUAGUCUAUAUAUACCAUUGUUGGUUUCUGCAUCCUUGCAAUUGUGAUCUGUAAGUGCGUGAUGUAACGUGGCAUCCCUACCCUAUCCCCCCUUUUCUUCCACAAAAGAACUCAUCCUUCUAUAUUUUUCACAAUGAUGAAAACAAGAUUAAAGUUUUAGAAUUUAUACAUAUUCUCAAUAAUGUAAAGACUUUUCAUAUGUUCGUUGUAAUUUUGAUUUAACUUGCUGAUUGUUUCUUUGGUUGAUUGAUUCUUAAAGAUAAGCAUUCAGACAACAACAUGGGUCAAAAUACAAACCAUGUUUUACAAAAGAUCCAUGGGGCAUCAUUUUCUGCUUCCUCAAUACCUCAAAGCCUGUCAUUGAUAUCUUCUGCUCAGCCAAUACCGUAUGAUUAGUAGGGCCCGUAUGAAGGAUUAGAUGCAAAUAGAAAUGGAGUAGUCGUGAUUGAUGGAACCAGGUUGGUCCAGGAAUACAUUAGUGUAGGGUCCAUCUAAUCCUAUUGAUAUCAUUGAUUACUUCAACGGCUACAUAACUCCAGUAUAGUUCUUCAUCUUUCUUUGUAUUUUCGAAAUAAAUAACUUUAUCAUCGUUAGGUGCCAUUAUCAGGCGCUUGUUUAAGUUUUGGAACUUGUUAAGUUUGCAAAUUCGAUUUUUAAAUUUUUGUAUAAAAAUCUGGAUGUUGCUAAAUUUGUAAGGUUAAUUUUUCAAAUGUUUCAAAACCUAAAACAGAAGUUUAUAGAGAUUUUUUGAAAAUUUAUAAUAAUUUUAGCCAUAAAAUUGUGUGAACAUAUUAAUGCUGUUUGUAUAAAAAUUCCUCUUCUGUUUCAUUUUAAUCAUUAAAGAUAAUUAAGUUCUAAAGCAUAUGGAUGCAAAGUUAUCAUUUGACUUAUGCAAGUGCAUAAUUAUCAUCUCAUGUAAAUUCAUUAUAUUAUUCGCCUUUGUUAAACUUAAAUUGACAUUUAAUUGUUUCAAAAUUAUGAUGAAAUGGUAAAUUGUCUUGUAUACUUAGCUAAAGAUCUCGAAUCUACCCUCAAGUAUGGAGUCAUCUUUACCCCCAAUCUAUAUUAAAGACGGGUGUACGUGGACCUGGUUGGUUCAGUUUUUAUCAAAAUCAAACCAAACCAACUAUAUCGAUUUGGAUUGGUUCGGUUUUGUCGGAUUUUUCGGGGUUUUCGGGAUUUUUUUUUGUUACUUAAAUAUUAUUUCAAUCUUACUUUAUUAAUUUUUUUAUAAGUAAUAAAUAUAUGUUUAGUAAAAAUAUAAAAAUUUGACAAACAUAUUAUCUAUUAAAAUAUUCUUAUGAGAGAAUUUUCUUAGUAACACAUAAUAGUUAUAUUUUUAGUCGUCUAACAAUAAUGUUUCAUUGAUGUACACUUUCAAGGUUAACCGAAUUUAGUAAUUAAACAUAAAAAUCAAUAUGAUACCUAAAUAAUAAUAAUAAUCAACUUUACAUUCGACAAAGAUAUAACAAUUUAGUAGAUCUUAAUAUAUGAUACGAAUAUGGAAGAACAAAAAGAUUGACGCAUUUCAGCAACACUUGGUGAGAAAGUGAUCAUACAACCCAUUAUUUAAGGUUAAUAAAUAUGGAGCACUUCAUAUAUUGUUAAAUAUUAUAUCCCGCAAGAUAAUCCCAAAUAUUUUUAGACAUUUUUUAAAGAAAAUUCUAUAUAAAAUCUUAAAAGUAUAUAUAAAAAUUAUAUAUUUAUAUGUUGGUUUGCUUCGGGUUUUUUUACUCAAUACCAAACUAAAUUAAAGCAAACCUAGUCGGAGUUUUUAAUCGGUUUGGUUUGACUUUUCAGUUAUGCAGUUUUCCGGUUCGGUUUGUACACCCUACUCCUAAGACUGAUAAUGCCUCUUCCAAAGGAUAAUAUGAGAUUUAAGCACGAGCGGAUGUAAUGUGUAAAUGACGGGUUCAAUUGAACUUAUAAUUUUCGAUGCAAAGUAUAAAAUUAUAUGUAAAAAAUCGUUAAAAUUACAAAAUAGUAGAGAUAAAACCGUAAUUUUGAUAAUUUAAUGGGUUUAAGGCUAAAAUCUUAAAAAUUGACCCAUAGAAUGAAAUUUUGGAUAUGUUUCUGGAUUAAAGUAAAGUUGUGUAUAUAACGGAGUAAUAACAAUCUUCAGUUUCCUCCUUUCGAGUUCCCACGGUCCACCUACCCCAACGUGUUCCUUUCUUCUACAUAUAUCGUACCUAAUUUUGGAAUGUGGAUCGAAAUCGAUUUUACCAUACUUGGCCUCUUGUUUUGGACUUACUUAAGAUAAUCUCUCACGUGUGAAUUCAGGGGAGGUAAAAACUAAAAAGCGACAAACGCAGAGGUAAACACGAAUCCCGAAACACGACGAAACACGUGUGUUGCUGUCUGAACCUAUCCAAUUUGGACAAUUGUCAAAGACCCACGUAUGAUGGACAGAUCCUCAUCAUCCGACGGCUUAAAGAUUAUCACCUGUAAAAUUUACAGUUAAAAUAACCCAGAGAAUUUCCCAGAAAUCAAAUGCCAAUAGCGACUUCAGAGUAAUAGGAUAAUACUCCACAAAUUUCUCCGUUUAUGUGUGGUUCCACGUUUUAGCAUAGUAACACAGAAGAGGAAGAAAAUCAGAGAGUAGGAAGGGAGAUGGCAACAGGGUUAAAGGCACUGCCUUUCUCAUUUGGGGCACACUUUCUGGCCGUAGUUGCGGCUAUUAUGGUGUUGGUUUGGUCUAUUCACUUUAGGGGUGGCUUAGCUUGGGAAGCUGAUAACAAAAAUCUCAUUUUUAAUGUACGCCCUUCAUCUUUGCCUUCUUUAUUUUCAAGUUUAUCUCUGCCCCCUUUAUUUGACAUGGAAAUAUGGAAUCUUGUUGUCUGUCAAUUCUGUAUAGUUUUUUUUUUUGUUGUUGGUGUCAUUCUAUGUAUUUAAUUAAUGAAGAUUAGAAGAUUUGAUUUGUAAAGUGAUAAUAACCUUUUGUAGUGUGGAUCAUGAUAUGUUCAGCUGCAAUAAGUUUUGUAAUACUAGUCAACUCUAUUUGAGACGAGGAGACAUGUUUUUCUUCUGGUUCUUUUUUGAUGUAAAGUGGUUCCUCCUGGUUUUAAAUUUUAACAGGCUGUUCGCAACUGAAUCUGAUUAGUUUCUUCCUUUUAAGCAAUUGCCGUCGUUACAAAAUAGAAAUUCCAGGGUUUAAUUUGAGAGAAAUCUUCAGUGUUUAAUUUGAGAGAAAUCUUCAGUGUUGGAUGUUAUGCGUAGUGCAAGCAGAAGUUUUUAGUGGUGUUUGCCCUGUUGGGUUGGUUUAGGAGAAGGAUGAAUUAUAUGGUGAUAUUUCUCCCUUUUUCGGUGUGUUCUUUUUGUUAUAUGUAUAUUUUGAAGUUGACAUCCAUGCUUUCGAUCAUUUCACUACCUACCUUAACUCUUUAUGGGUAGGUAUGUGCCUCUAAAAUAUGAAACAUUGGAAUGUACAAAUCAGGAGUCUGUUAAUCUUGACGCAGUUAGUUGUCCAACAACACCAUAGAAGUAGUGAUCCCUACAUUUCUCUUUCUAAUACUAAUGUUUAGGCAGCCGGUGAUCAAAAUUUGAUUAUUUUACAAAUCAUUAACAUUGAUCCAAAAUAUAGGAAAGUCAUUGAAUUUAUUAAUUCAGUGUUAUGCGUACCUAAAUGCUCUUGGGGGAACCUUAUGACUGUAGAAGUUAGAAUACAAGAGAACAAGUACUAUGUGACCUGCAGCCCUCCUACACUAAUGAUGGAUAAUUUGUAGUUGUACAAUGUUGCUAGAUGAAAUUUGAGUCAAAUUAUGAAAAUUAAGGAUAAUGCUAUUGAAUUUACUUAUAAAGAGAAAACUAGAGGAAGAUUUUUUCUUGUUAUGGAUUCAGCUGGUAAAAACUCAACCAUCACUUCCAGAUUCUUUUAGCUAAGUACAUGAUAGUUUUCCCUACUUUAAGCGGUACUGAUACUGAUGCUUAUAACAUCAUUUUUCCUGUUAUGGUAUUUUCAUCUUUUCUCAUUGUUUUUUGGUUUCCAGAUUCACCCUGUACUGAUGCUUAUUGGCUUCAUUAUUCUUGGGGGAGAAGGUGAUUGAGAUGUUUAUAAAUAUCUUUUUUUUAUUUGCCUUUUUUAUUAGUUUUAUCCUGUUUCUUCUUGAAUAAUUCCAUUUGACGAUUAAUGUUUUAUUAAUCCAAAAUGUGCAGCCAUCAUGAGUUACAAAUCUUUCCCCCUGAAGAAGCAGGUGAAGAAAGUAAUCCAUCUAAUUUUACAUGCUAUUGCGCUCGUACUUGGUAUAGUUGGAAUCUGCGCUGCAUUCAAAAAUCACAACGAAAGCAACAUCCCCAACCUGUACAGUUUACAUUCCUGGGUCGGGAUCGGUGUUAUUGUUCUUUAUGGCAUUCAGGUAAACAUCCCAUAUUGAGUACUCCAUAUACCUGGUAAUAUGACUACAUAUGUUUUCAUCUCCUUGUUAUUUUUUGUCCGAUCAGAUUCUCUAGCAAAUACCUGAGACCAUGCUCCAUUUUAAUCCUCUUAUCUAAUUUAAUAGUGCAGGAGUAGUUUGAGGCUUGUAAAUUGUCAUGAGAUGACGUUCCAGUAGGUUCUUACAUGUGUUCUCUGAUCCAAACAGAGUUUGACUUCUUUUUAGGACAUUUUCAUAAUAUUUCUUGUUUAUUUUGCAUUUCGUGAUCUUUAUUCUUCACUAUACAUAAGUAAAUGAUAGCCGUUUACAAUGAGGCAAUACACUACUUAGAUGUCAACCAUGAAAACUUUGUGGGAGAGCCCCCGUUUAAGGCCCUUUCAUUGCAAGUGGACUGAUCGCAAUAUGUCCAUUCGUUCUUGCUUGAAUCUCCUGGUCUAUGUUAUUAAUCCUUUAUCUGCCUUGAUGUACCCAAUGUAAGGUGUACAUAGGUAUGGUCUGUCACUUUUAGCGGAUUCUUCAAAACGUCUAAAUAUUAGCAGAAAACACGUACGCUGAUCAUAUAGUGUAGCUCCUAGCUUAAUCCAAUAUUUAUCUGUAUAACUAGAAAUAUGCUGAUGAGGAGCUGUUUCUCAUCACUUGAUGACAUAAUUGCAGUGGAUUUAUGGCUUUGUGGUGUUCUUCUACCCUGGGGGUAGUGCUGAAGUUAGGCGUGAUUCACUUCCCUGGCAUGUGCUUUUUGGGAUGUUUGUGUAUGUCAUGGCUGUUGGUAAUGCCUGUCUAGGACUCCUUGAGAAGCUUACAUUCCUUGAGGUUAACGGUUUGGCUAAAUAUGGUUCCGAGGCUUUCCUAGUCAACUUUACUGCCAUUGCUACAGUUCUAUAUGGGGUCUUUGUGUUUCUGACCAUUCUUUCUCAGGCUCCUACUGAGGAUGAUUAUAGUUACUCUGCCAUCUCAUGAGUUCCACUCAACUAUUGUUGCAUAUUGUGUUCUAUUGCACGUCGACUAGCAGAUACUCUUACUGGUGCCUCUACCUUUCUACUUUUGGUCUUCUUGUUUUGAUGUCUUUGAUCAACUACCCGUAUAGUGGAGUAUGAUCCGAUUUCUUUGCACUACUGUAAUUAUGCAUCUCCAUCUUGAAGAUGGCACAAUCUUGAUGUGUAUGUUAUUAUAUGGGAG
rnacentral:lncRNA from 1 species